rnacentral:rRNA from 1 species
UACAGAGGGUGCGAGCGUUAAUCGGAAUUACUGGGCGUAAAGCGUGCGUAGACGGUUAUUUAAGUCGGAUGUGAAAGCCCCGGGCUCAACCUGGGAAUGGCAUUUGGGACUGCAAGGCUUGAGUGCGGCAGAGGAGACUGGAAUUCCUGGUGUAGCGGUGAAAUGCGCAGAUAUCAGGAGGAACACCGGUGGCGAAGGCGGGUCUCUGGGCCGAUACUGACGCUGAGGAGCGAAAGCGUGGGGAGCAAACAGG